rnacentral:rRNA from 1 species
CGNCAGGCUUANCACAUGCAAGUCGAGCGGAGCGAAGGUGCUUGCACUUAAGCUUAGCGGCGGACGGGUGAGUAAUGCUUAGGAAUCUGCCUAUUAGUGGGGGACAACGUUUCGAAAGGAACGCUAAUACCGCAUACGUCCUACGGGAGAAAGCAGGGGAUCUUCGGACCUUGUGCUAAUAGAUGAGCCUAAGUCGGAUUAGCUAGUUGGUGGGGUAAAGGCCUACCAAGGCGACGAUCUGUAGCGGGUCUGAGAGGAUGAUCCGCCACACUGGGACUGAGACACGGCCCAGACUCCUACGGGAGGCAGCAGUGGGGAAUAUUGGACAAUGGGCGAAAGCCUGAUCCAGCCAUGCCGCGUGUGUGAAGAAGGCCUUUUGGUUGUAAAGCACUUUAAGCGAGGAGGAGGAGCUUCAGGUUAAUACCCUGGAUGCUUGGACGUUACUCGCAGAAUAAGCACCGGCUAACUCUGUGCCAGCAGCCGCGGUAAUACAGAGGGUGCAAGCGUUAAUCGGAUUUACUGGGCGUAAAGCGUGCGUAGGCGGCUAAUUAAGUCAAAUGUGAAAUCCCCGAGCUUAACUUGGGAAUUGCAUUCGAUACUGGUUAGCUAGAGUAUGGGAGAGGAUGGUAGAAUUCCAGGUGUAGCGGUGAAAUGCGUAGAGAUCUGGAGGAAUACCGAUGGCGAAGGCAGCCAUCUGGCCUAAUACUGACGCUGAGGUACGAAAGCAUGGGGAGCAAACAGGAUUAGAUACCCUGGUAGUCCAUGCCGUAAACGAUGUCUACUAGCCGUUGGGGUCUUUGAGACCUUAGUGGCGCAGCUAACGCGAUAAGUAGACCGCCUGGGGAGUACGGUCGCAAGACUAAAACUCAAAUGAAUUGACGGGGGCCCGCACAAGCGGUGGAGCAUGUGGUUUAAUUCGAUGCAACGCGAAGAACCUUACCUGGCCUUGACAUACUAAGAACUUUCCAGAGAUGGAUUGGUGCCUUCGGGAACUUAGNAUACAGGUGCUG